AUCACCUUCAAAAUUCAUGGGUAAACAGGUUGACGCUUCAGUGAUGUGACAUGCCGUGAGCCGAAAAGCCCAAAGCUUCCCGUAAGGGAUCCUCCAACACAGCUUGUAAGCCUCAUGUGAUAAUGUCCUCAAACGCAACUGGGAAAGUGGGACAGCAGAGGAUUAAAUGGCACCGUCUGCAUGCAAACAGCACUUUAGUUGCCAUCUGCAAUGAGGAUACUAGGUGAGUUGUCAAGGAAUGGGAGUCUUCUCAAGGAACAACAAGGUUCUCUGUCACAUCCAACAAGCCGAUCCCAGGAGUAAGGACUUCUAUGAGUUUUGGAGGGCAGUAGCUUUAAUCACUUCAUCCCACGCUAUUUAAAUAUUUGUUCAUUACUCUCCCUCCCUUCCUUUCUAUCUCAACAUAACUUCCUCUUGGAUACCACAAGACUGCUUACAUAAUUGGAUUGUUCUAAUUGCUGGAGACUGGCGAGUGAAAUGGAUAAUUGGAAGGAUGCAGAUAGGCUGGACUGUAAACAAAGGACUUCACUGCUGAUAAAGCUAUUGUAUUUGCAACA